rnacentral:rRNA from 1 species
AUGGACGGCUCCCCCAGCCUCCCCCUCCCGCUCCCGCUCCCGCGCCCGCGCCCCGCCCAGCGCCCCCCGCUCCCGCCGCAGGUCUUCCUCCGAUGCCCCGCGCCGCCGCGGGGCGCCGUCCCCGCCGCGCCGCCGCACGUGCACUACUUCCGCGCCCCGUCGCCCAUCCCCGUCUACUCCCCGCGGCUCCCCGGGCCCCGCUACAUCGCCGCCCGGCCCCCUCCCGCGCCCGCUGCUGCCGCCGCGGCGCCCCCGCGGCCGCCCCAGGCCUCCCCCGCGCAGCUGCCGCAUCCGAGGCCGCCGCAGCCGGUGUACGAGAACGUCGUGCCGCCGGCCAGGAGGAGAGGGAGGCCCAAGUCCAAGGCGCCGGAAAAUGAGCAGAAAAUUGAAAUAGAAAAUGCCCAGUCUGAAGUUGGGAAGGGAGAGAUUAGUCAAGGGCAUCAUAAGGAGAGUACCACUGGACCAACAAAAGGUAUCAAGCGAGCAAGAAAACCACAUGGAUCAAUUGAAGGAGAUGCAGCAAACAACUGCCGCUAUGACAGUUCACUAGGUCUGCUGACAAAGAAAUUCAUCAACCUGCUUAAAGGAGCAGAAGAUGGAACCCUUGAUUUAAAUAAAGCAGUUGAGAUACUGGAGGUGCAAAAGCGGAGGAUAUAUGAUAUAACAAAUGUCCUGGAAGGUGUAGAUUUAAUUGAAAAGGGCCUGAAGAAUACGAUUCGUUGGAAGGGAUUUGACAUGUUACUGCCUAAGGAGGUGGAGCUCCAAACUUCUGCAUUGAAGGAGGAACUAGACUCAUCACAUGAUGAAGAAUGCAGGUUGGAUGAGGAAAUACGAGAAGCACAAGAGAAACUGCUGGCGCUCAAACUAAAUAAGGACAAAAAAAAGUGGUUGUAUCUUUCCAAGGAAGAUAUUUGUGAGAUUCCUCACUUACAGGGAUCCACUCGUAUUGCAAUACAUGCUCCUCAUGGAACCUGUGUUGAGGUUCCAGAUCCUAAUGCGGAUAUGGACAUCUGCAAGGACCUGGAAUCUCAAGAAAAGCAUUACCAGCUUCUCUUGAGAAGUUCAAUGGGUCCCAUUGAUUGCUAUUUGAUAAGUGACCAUCAGGGGGUAUCCGACCCAGAGCAGGUGGCACAAGACAAUUUGGAUCAUGCAUCCACAGCUGGAGGUUCAGAUGCUCCAAGGCCGGUGGAUGAUCAUCCAAGUCAAGCUCCCGAAAAGGGAGAGGGCGACACUGUCGGCAAGCAUACAUCGGAACCAUCCAGUACACAUGAACGGAUGCCUGGCAUUCUGAAAAUCGUACUGCCAGAUACUGAUCGUGAUGCUGAUUACUGGCUCGCAUCUGACGUUGACGCUACCAUGACUGAAACAUGGGCCACUUAG